rnacentral:rRNA from 1 species
AGUGAACGCUGGCGGUAGGCCUAACACAUGCAAGUCGAACGGCAGCACAGUAAGAGCUUGCUCUUACGGGUGGUGAGUGGCGGACGGGUGAGGAAUACAUCGGAAUCUACUUUUUCGUGGGGGAUAACGUAGGGAAACUUACGCUAAUACCGCAUACGACCUACGGGUGAAAGCAGGGGAUCUUCGGACCUUGCGCGAUUAAAUGAGCCGAUGUCGGAUUAGCUAGUUGGCGGGGUAAAGGCCCACCAAGGCGACGAUCCGUAGCUGGUCUGAGAGGAUGAUCAGCCACACUGGAACUGAGACACGGUCCAGACUCCUACGGGAGGCAGCAGUGGGGAAUAUUGGACAAUGGGCGCAAGCCUGAUCCAGCCAUACCGCGUGGGUGAAGAAGGCCUUCGGGUUGUAAAGCCCUUUUGUUGGGAAAGAAAAGCAGCAGGUUAAUACCCCGCUGUUCUGACGGUACCCAAAGAAUAAGCACCGGCUAACUUCGUG